rnacentral:rRNA from 1 species
GACGAACGCUGGCGGCGUGCCUAACACAUGCAAGUCGAACGGAGCUAGACGCUGAGGACGUAGCUUGCUAUUGAAUCUUGUUUAGCUUAGUGGCGGACGGGUGAGUAACGCGUGAGCAACCUGCCUUUCAGAGGGGGAUAACGUUUGGAAACGAACGCUAAUACCGCAUAAUAUUAUUGGAUCGCAUGGUCUGAUAAUCAAAGGAGCAAUCCGCUGAAAGAUGGGCUCGCGUCCGAUUAGGUAGUUGGCGGGGCAACGGCCCACCAAGCCGACGAUCGGUAGCCGGACUGAGAGGUUGAACGGCCACAUUGGGACUGAGACACGGCCCAG